rnacentral:snoRNA from 1 species
GCAUCUAAAUCUUUCCUGUUCCUUGCAAUACAGUGCAGGAUUGGGGACACAUGGUGCUACAGCAAAGCAGAGUGAAUCCAGACAGGUUUCUUCACUUAUACUGGGACUUGUCUCUACAACUCUGCAACAUUU